AAAUGCAUGGUAGGGGAGCGUUCUGUAAGUCUGUGAAGGUGUCUUGUAAAGGAUGCUGGAGAUAUCAGAAGUGCGAAUGCUGACAUGAGUAGCGAUAAAGGGUGUGAAAAGCACCCUCGCCGAAAGCCCAAGGUUUCCUGCGCAACGUUCAUCGGCGCAGGGUGAGUCGGCCCCUAAGGCGAGGCAGAAAUGCGUAGUCGAUGGGAAACAGGUCAAUAUUCCUGUACCGCUCUAUGAUGCGAUGGGGGGACGGAGAAGGCUAGGUUAGCCAUCUGUUGGAAUAGGUGGUUUAAGCGUGUAGGCGUGCUCUUUAGGCAAAUCCGGAGAGCUAAGCUGAGGCGUGAUGACGAGCGCUCUUUGAGUGCGAAGUAACUGAUACCCUGCUUCCAGGAAAAGCCUCUAAGCUUCAGUCAUAGAGUGACCGUACCGCAAACCGACACAGGUGGGCAGGUAGAAGAUACUAAGGCGCUUGAGAGAACUCAGGAGAAGGAACUCGGCAAAUUGAUACCGUAACUUCGGGAGAAGGUAUGCCCCGUUAGCUUGUAGGAGAACAUCCGAAGGGCGAAGGGGCCGCAGAGAAUCGGUGGCUGCGACUGUUUAUUAAAAACACAGCACUCUGCAAACACGAAAGUGGACGUAUAGGGUGUGACGCCUGCCCGGUGCCGGAAGGUUAAGUGAUGGGGUGCAAGCUCUUGAUCGAGGCCCCGGUAAACGGCGGCCGUAACUAUAACGGUCCUAAGGUAGCGAAAUUCCUUGUCGGGUAAGUUCCGACCUGCACGAAUGGCGUAACGAUGGCCACACUGUCUCCUCCUGAGACUCAGCGAAGUUGAAGUGUUUGUGAAGAUGCAAUCUCCCCGCGGCUAGACGGAAAGACCCCAUGAACCUUUACUGUAGCUUUGCAUUGGACUUUGACGGGACUUGUGUAGGAUAGGUGGGAGGCAUUGAAACCGGGACGCUAGUUCCGGUGGAGCCAACCUUGAAAUACCACCCUGGUGUCGUUGAGGUUCUAACCCAGGUCUGUGAAUCCAGAUCGGGGACCGUGCAUGGUGGGCAGUUUGACUGGGGCGGUCUCCUCCCAAAAGGUAACGGAGGAGUACGAAGGUCUUCUAGGUACGGUCGGACAUCGUACUGAUAGUGCAAUGGCAAAAGAAGGCUUGACUGCGAGACCGACAAGUCGAGCAGGUGCGAAAGCAGGUCAUAGUGAUCCGGUGGUUCUGUAUGGAAGGGCCAUCGCUCAACGGAUAAAAGGUACUCUGGGGAUAACAGGCUGAUUCCGCCCAAGAGUUCACAUCGACGGCGGAGUUUGGCACCUCGAUGUCGGCUCAUCACAUCCUGGGGCUGUAGCCGGUCCCAAGGGUAUGGCUGUUCGCCAUUUAAAGUGGUACGUGAGCUGGGUUUAAAACGUCGUGAGACAGUUUGGUCCCUAUCUGCCGUGGGCGCUGGAUAUUUGAGGGGGCCUGCUCCUAGUACGAGAGGACCGGAGUGGACGAAUCUCUGGUGUACCGGUUGUGACGCCAGUCGCAUCGCCGGGUAGCUAAAUUCGGAAGAGAUAACCGCUGAAAGCAUCUAAGCGGGAAACUCGCCUCAAGAUGAGAUAUCCCUGGGAACUUGAUUCCCCUAAAGGGUC
rnacentral:rRNA from 1 species